GGUGAACUGUGCCUGAACAGGGUGAAACCAGGGGAAACUCUGGUGA
rnacentral:rRNA from 1 species